CCACAGGAGGGCGAUAGAGGCUCAGAUCAACGUUGUAUGUCUGUCACAGGGCACCGUACUGAUUAGGCCGUAAACGGUGGCGACACGCGACAUAAGGCUGUCAAAACCCCCUGGCUAUGUUUCAUGUGUUGUUAGUUGUACACCCUUAGUGUCGUUGUAGUUCGUUGUAAGUAAAUAUUUUUAAAAGACGUUAGUCUAUUUCCGAAGUAGCCACAGGAGUGCGAUCGAGGCUCAGCUCAUAAAUGCACGUCCGUCACAGGCCACCGUACAGAUGGUGCAGUAAUUGGUGAGGUCACGUGAAAUAAGGCUUUCAAAACCUUCAAAAUGUUUUUUCUUUAAAAGCUUUUAUUUGAUUUUAACCCUUGGUUAUGUUAUUUGUGUAUUCUGGUAUUUGUAUCCUGUCAUCUUUGUGUAUGCAACACAAACCACCGUAUGGACGCUUUCUGUUGACGUCACUUCGUGUCUGUCCACGCGGUUCGAAGCGUACUGUUGGAAUUUGUUGCCAUCCAACGUGAGGCGUCGCUAUAAGAUCGAAGUGUACUGUUGGAAUCUGUUGCCAUCCAACGUGAGGCAUCGCUAUAAGAAGAAAAGCUGCUGGUGCUGCUCACCAGCUUGUGGGGCCCCUCUGUAGCCAUCUGAAGAUGAACUCCAAAUGGCAGAGUCAUCUGAUGCCACAGCGCUGGUGUCGCUCAGCAGUUGGUUGGUUUGUCACCAGUCUGUCGGGCCCUCGGGGAAGGAGCAAGGUCAUGUUUGCAGAUCCUCAGGAUCCUGUCAGCGCUUUUCACCGGCAUGUCAAUGAAGACAUGUUUAAAGAGUUUUCGGAAGAGGAGUUUGAGGACAGAGAAAAGAGCUAGUCUGAGGACGUGUUUGAGCCAUACUUGGAACAAAGGUUGGUAGAGAUUCAUCAGACAAGAGCAAAUUCAAACGCAAAGGGUAAGUAAAGUCUUACUUUUUUACAACGCCUUAUGGGCUGAAUAGGUGAAUCCCUAUUACAUGCAUCAUUGUUGACUGUCAGCACAUUAUCACAAAUGUACAUGUUAGCACAUUUUACAACAUGUCUAUGAAAGUUGUUAGAAAUUGUUUUACAAGGUUUUUAUAGGCCCUAUACGAGAGGCGAAUCGUAGGGGUGUAACGCUUUGUUUUAAUAAUGGUUCCAUUCGUGGUAGCGAUUUGAUUCAAUGACGAUAUUUAGAACGAUACGAUCCAAAAUUAUUCAUGAACUUGAAAUGGAUUCUGUAACUUUUUAGCUAAAAAUGUAACCAGUGUGACUGAAACAAAUACCCGCAUACUGGACGUACUGGACGGUGUAGGUGCCGUUUCCUAGAUUCGCAUUGUUUUUUUUUUUUUUGUAAUCGGGUAUAAAUUAAAUAUAGUUAUAAACAAACAAGUAAGGAACAAUAAAUGGAAAAUGCCUUGAGAUUUCAUUUGAAGAAAGUGCAACCAACACAGUUGUCAUAAAAGUCAACAUUGUAGCCAUUUACAUUUUUCAUCAUUAAAAAGUCCAGGGAAGAAAAGUGUAAUUUCACAUAGGCCUCACUGCAAAUUGCAUGCACACAGUAAUGUCGGGGCAAAAUGAAAUGUCAUCUACAGAUAGAUAUUAAAGUGAAUUUAUAUCGUAUAUACUUUUCAUCGUUUUGUGACAGUCCGAUCCAUGAGUUUGAAAGGCGUAAAGUAGGACUUAAGUUUUGAUGUGGUCCAACAGUGUAUGAAUGUAAAGUAUAUACAGUGAGGGUCAUAAGUAUUUGCACC